rnacentral:tRNA from 1 species
AAAAUUUUAGUUUAUAAAUAAAAUUUUUUAUUUACAAUAAAAAGAAUAAUUUUUAAUAAUUAAAAUUUUA